GUAGGUAUAGUUUAUAAAAACAUCAGACCGUGAACCUGAAGACAGGGUAUUAAAACCCUUAUCUACC